rnacentral:rRNA from 1 species
GACGAACGCUGGCGGCGUGCCUAAUACAUGCAAGUAGAACGCUGAAGAGAGGAGCUUGCUCUUCUUUGAUGAGUUGCGAACGGGUGAGUAACGCGUAGGUAACCUGCCUUGUAGCGGGGGAUAACUAUUGGAAACGAUAGCUAAUACCGCAUAACAAUGGAUUACACAUGUCAUUUAUUUGAAAGGGGCAAUUGCUCCACUACAAGAUGGACCUGCGUUGUAUUAGCUAGUAGGUGAGGUAAUGGCUCACCUAGGCGACGAUACAUAGCCGACCUGAGAGGGUGAUCGGCCAGCCUGGGACUGAGACACGGCCCAGACUCAUACGGGAGGGAGCAGUAGGGCAUCUUCGGCAAUGGGGGCAACACUGACCGAGCAAGGCCGCGUGAGUGAAGAAGGUUUUCGGAUCGUAAAGCUCUGUUGUAAGUCAAGAACGGGUGUGAGAGUGGAAAGUUCACACUGUGACGGUAGCUUACCAGAAAGGGACGGCUAACUACGUG